AGCGAACGCUGGCGGCAGGCUUAACACAUGCAAGUCGAGCGGGCACUUCGGUGUCAGCGGCAGACGGGUGAGUAACACGUGGGAACGUGCCCUUCGGUUCGGAAUAACUCAGGGAAACUUGAGCUAAUACCGGAUACGCCCUUUUGGGGAAAGGUUGACCGCCGAAGGAUCGGCCCGGGUCUGAUUAGCUUGUUGGUGGGGUAACGGCCUACCAAGGCGACGAUCAGUAGCUGGUCUGAGAGGAUGAUCAGCCACACUGGGACUGAGACACGGCCCAGACUCCUACGGGAGGCAGCAGUGGGGAAUAUUGGACAAUGGGCGCAAGCCUGAUCCAGCCAUGCCGCGUGAGUGAUGAAGGCCUUAGGGUUGUAAAGCUCUUUUGUCCGGGACGAUAUUGACGGUACCGGAAGAAUAAGCCCCGGCUAACUUCGUGCCAGCCGCCGCGGUAACAC
rnacentral:rRNA from 1 species